AUGUGACCUCAAAUCAGGUAGACUACCCGCUGAACUUAA
rnacentral:rRNA from 1 species